GACGUACCACCCAAACGUUAUUCGGAUUCACUGGGCUUACAGAGUCCGUAGGCGGUGGAGAAAGUUAGGCGUGAAAUCCCUCAGCUCAACUGAGGAAUAGCGCUUAAAACUACUUCGCUAGAGAGAGUCAGAGGUGAGCGGAACUGAUGGUGGAGCGGUGAAAUGCGUUGAUAUCAUCAGGAGCACCGGUGGCGAAAGCGGCUCACUGGGGCUUUUCUGACGCUGAGGGACGAAAGCUAGGGGAGCGAACGGG
rnacentral:rRNA from 1 species